UCGAGCGGAACGAGUUAUCUGAACCUUCGGGGGAACGAUAACGGCGUCCAGCGGCGGACGGGUGAGUAAUGCCUAGGAAAUUGCCUUGAUGUGGGGGAUAACCAUUGGAAACGAUGGCUAAUACCGCAUAAUGCCUACGGGCCAAAGAGGGGGACCUUCGGGCCUCUCGCGUCAAGAUAUGCCUAGGUGGGAUUAGCUAGUUGGUGAGGUAAUGGCUCACCAAGGCGACGAUCCCUAGCUGGUCUGAGAGGAUGAUCAGCCACACUGGAACUGAGACACGGUCCAGACUCCUACGGGAGGCAGCAGUGGGGAAUAUUGCACAAUGGGCGAAAGCUGAUGCAGCCAUGCCGCGUGUAUGAAGAAGGCCUUCGGGUUGUAAAGUACUUUCAGUUGUGAGGAAGGGGGUGUCGUUAAUAGCGGCAUCUCUUGACGUUAGCAACAGAAGAAGCACCGGCUAACUCCGUGCCAGCAGCCGCGGUAAUACGGAGGGUGCGAGCGUUAAUCGGAAUUACUGGGCGUAAAGCGCAUGCAGGUGGUUCAUUAAGUCAGAUGUGAAAGCCCGGGGCUCAACCUCGGAACUGCAUUUGAAACUGGUGAACUAGAGUACUGUAGAGGGGGGUAGAAUUUCAGUGUAGCGGUGAAAUGCGUAGAGAUCUGAAAGGAAUACCAGUGGCGAAAGGCGGCCCCCUGGACAGAUACUGACACUCAGAUGCGAAAGCGUGGGGAGCAAACAGGAUUAGGAUACCCUGGGUAGUCC
rnacentral:rRNA from 1 species